rnacentral:rRNA from 1 species
GGAAGAGGGGCGCUUGUCAAGUCCGUGCUCACCGCUCAGGUCAUUUACCACAUCAUCGCCCUUAAGCCUCCCGUGGGCACCCUGCUAAACAUCACAAAGUUGGAGAGGGCUUUCCUAUGGGCGGGCACCAAUAAGACAACUGGGGCCAAGUGUAAGGUUAACUAGAGCUCAGUCUGUCGACCGACUGACCUCGGAGGGCUUGGCGUCCUAGACUUGGCCAAGUUUGCGAGAGCCCUCCGGCUUAGAUGGCUGUGGUUCGAGUGGAUUGAGCCUUCCAAUAUGUGGAUUGGAAUGGACAACCCCUGUGACGAGCUUGACCAAGAUCUAUUCUAUGCCUCUACGCGCAUCACCAUUGGCAACGGGGCAUGUGCGCCAUUUUGGGACUCCUCUUGGGUUAAUGGCGAGAAACCUUCCAGCAUAACACCUCUCAUCUUCGAGGCUUCCACGAGGAAGAAAUGGAAGGUCCGGGAGGCCAUGCAUGCGGACGCGUGGCUGUCCAAAAUCAAGCUCCCCAUCAACUGGACAAUGGACCACACCCGACAGCUCGUUACUCUAUGGGCUCGGUUGAGGGCCAUCACCCUUGCGGUGGACGCUGACGACACCAUCUCUUGGAAGCAUACCAACAGCGGAAUCUACUCCGCCACCUCGGCAUACAGUGCACAACUGCUUGGGACAGUCAACUCGCCCUUGGGCUUCGCCGUUUGGAAAGUCUCCCCCCCCCAAGAUGAAAUUCUAUGCUUGGCUGGCAAUUCAAAGCCGAGUUUGGACGGCGGAUAG